AUACUCACGCUCUCCUAACCCUUAAUCCUCUUUCUACCUCUGGUCCACCACGAAGCUGCUUCUGGCUUUCCUCCACCGGGAAACCACUUCUCUACAAACCGCGUUUCGUUCACGCAAGAUGUGUUCUGCGAUUUGUUGGAUUUCAAGGUACAAAAGGUGACUACCACUUCUGCAAUACACGUUUCAAGGUGAUUUUUGUUGGAUGAAUUGGCGUUUCCGUUUCCGUGCUGUGUUUUUUACUGGAUCCACGAACUGAUUUUUUACAGGAUGAAAUUCAUUUCUCGGUUCAGUUAGAGGUUCAAAACGUCAACUGAUUUUCUACGGUGUUUUAAUCAUCUGCAACUUGCUUAUGGUUCUGAAAUUUUGCAAGAGUGCAACGCUAUUCCCAGCUAAGUUCUGAAAUCACGUCUACUGAUUUUACUGCUUUGAGAACGAAAUCAGUAUUAAAGUUUUAUAGCAGUUCAGGGAGAUGAUCAAGGAUUACUUCUGUUCCAAUUCCUGUAAGUUGCUUCUUACUCAUCAUCUUAACUCUAGGUAAUUUAUUGUUUGUUACGGUAUUUUAGGAAUUCCUUUUUAACUUUAGUCUGAAUUAAAUAUAGAUUUUUAAACCAUAUAUCAAUCUAGGUUUAAAAAACAGUGAGAAGUGGACUAAUUAGUAUUUCUUUAGUACUUGAAGUGCAGAGUAUAGUAAACACGAUGCAAGAAAAAAGAAAACAGAGAAGAAAAGAAGGACGAGGGAGAUAAAAAGAGAACGAAGAGGUGUGUUUUACGUUUUGAUGUAUCUGAUAACUCUUUUUGCAGCUUUCAUAUGUGUUUCGUUUGGACAGUGCAUGAACCUUGAAAGAAUACUCACAACAUUUAGGAUGUCAGGUCUGGUUGUUGUUAAGUACAUCAGACAACCUAUCAAACUUCUAAACUUAGAUUCAUUAACCUUGUCAGAACCAUCAUCUUUGAUUAGCUUCUCCUUUUGAUUCAUGGGAGUGUUCACAGUUUUGCAAUCUUCCAUCAGAAAUUUCUUGAGUAUUUCCUUUGCAUGUUUUCUUUGACUUAAGAAAACUUCAUCCUGAUUCUGUUUGAUCUCAAUGCCAAGAAAGUAUGACAUAAGACCAAGAUCUGUCAUUUCAAAGACCUUUUUCAUUUCCAGUUUGAACUGGUUGAUUUCUUCAACAUUGCUUCCUGUAACUAACAUGACAUCCACAUAAAGAGAAAUUACCAAAAUAUUUGUACCUUGAUGUUUGACAUACAAUGUGAGUUCAGAUUGGCUUUUAUGAAAGCCAAGGUGCACCAGAUGAUCAUCAACCUUGUUGUACCAGGCUCGUGGAGCUAGCUUUAAUCCAUAUAAAUCCUUUUUCAAAAAGUAGACUUUAUUUUCAUUGCCCUCAUUCACAAAGCCUUCAGGUUGUUCAACAAAAAUUUCUUCUUGCAAAUCUCCAUUUAAGAAUGCAGAUUUAACAUCCAAAUGGUAUACUUUCCAGCUCCUUUGAGCAGCAAGAGCAAGCAAUAAUAUUACAGUGUCAAGCCUGGCAACAGGUGCAAAUGUCUUUGAAUAAUCAACACCAAAAACUUGUGCAUAUCCUUUCACAACAAGUCUUGCUUUGAAUUUGUUGAUAGAACCAUCAGGACUUAGCUUGGUUCUGAAAACCCAUCUUACUCCAAUUAUUUUUCUGUUUAGUCGACCAACCAACUCCCAGGUUUUAUUUUUCUCAAUCAUAGAAAGCUCCUCCUACAUUGCAGCCAUCCAGUGUUGACUGUUUUUUGCAUCGUGAAAUCCUGCAGGCUCACAAACAGCUACAUUGCACCUUUGACAGAUGUCAGACAAUAGUCUUGUUCCUCUGACAGGUGCAUCAUCAACUGUAGCAUCAUCUUCAGAUUCUUCAGUCAUGCUCCCAAGGGUUGAACUGUUUGGAGCAUUUGGACUUUGAUUCACCUUAGUUGAACUUUCCCAAUCCCAUUGUUCAUUUUCAACAAAAUGAACAUCUCUGCUUACAAUCACACGACCAAUUUGUGGCUGAAAAAUUUUGUAAGCUUUGGAUACAGUGCUAUAUCCAACAAAGAUGCUUGCUUAUGCUUUUUUAUCAAGCUUAUCACGCUUGACCUGUGGAAUAUAAGUGAAGCAAAGACAACCAAAUAUUUUGAGAAAUUUUAAAGAAGGUUUGUAGCCAUACCAAGCUUCAUAUGGUGUCAGAUCUUUCAAGGCUUUUGUAGAAAUUCGAUUUUGUAGGAAUACAACAGUGUUUGUUGCCUCCCCCCAUAACCCUUUUGGAAGAUUCUUUUCAUGGAGCAUACACCUUGUCAUCUCCAUAAUGAAUCUGUUCUUCCUUUCACUGACACCAUUCUGUCGAGGAGUAUAUGGUGUUGUUAAUUGAUGUUGAAUUCCAGCUUCUUCACAAAAUUUGUUGAAAGCAUCAGAGGUGUAUUCCUUGCCAUUGUCAGACCUUAUAAUCUGAAUUGAGCAUCCACUUUCAUUUUCAACUCUGGUUUUGAAUUUCCAGAAUAUACUGGGAACCUCUAACUUUUGUUUCAACAUGAAAAUCCAACACAUUCUUGUUAGAUCAUCAAUAAAAAUUAUGUAGUAGAGGUUACCAUUUAAUGAAGGUGUUCUCUGAGGACCACACAAAUCAGUGUGCACCAGUUGCAGCUUUUUCGAGGCUCUCCAAGCUUGUUUAGGGAAAGGUUGUCUGUGUUGCUUCCCAAAAUUGCAGGCAUGACAAGGAGGAAUAUUAUCAUCAAUGUCUGCGAGUCCUUCAACUAGCUUCUUUGAUUGCAUCUGAAACAAUCCUUGAUGAUGAAAGUGCCCAAGUCUUUUGUGCCAAAUCUCAGUGGCACUAGCUCUGGACUUGAAGGCCAUUUGUUCUUUCUCCAUUGGAUUUAAAGCAAAGCUUUUUCCUUUCAUUUUGACAUUGAACAAGUCUUUGCCACUAGCAUCUCUAAUCAAGCACUGUUUAUUCUCAAACAACACUUUAUAGCCUUUAUCGAGUAGGUGGCCAACACUUAAGAGAUUUUGAUCAAUUUUAGGUACAAAUAAAACAUCUGAAACAAAUUUUGUACCUUCAUAGCUUGCUAUAGCUACUGUGCCUUUUUCCCUUGACUUCCAAGAGUUCACCAUUUCCAAUUCUCACUCUCUUAACUUCAGUGUUUUUUAAUUCUUCGAAAAGCUCCUUGUCAUAUGUCAUAUGAUUUGUGCACCCACUGUCAAUCAACCAGCUCUCACUUGAUUCUCUACUUGAGAAACAAGUGACCACGAACAAUUGAUCUUCUUCUUGACCAACAACUUGUGCAUCUACUUCUUGCACCUGACCUUUGACUUUGCAGAUCACAGCUUCAUGUCCAAGUUGAUUGCAUUUGGAGCAUUUUGCAUCGGGUCUUCUCCAACACUUGUAUGGUGGAUGACCUUUCUUCUCACAGUGGCGGCAAGGUGGGUAGGAUUUUUUGGAACCUUCUUCCUUUUUUAAGUUUUUCUUCUUUUUGUACCUGUUGUUGUCUUGAUGCUUGACAGGUAAAGCUCCUUCAAUCACCCCUUCUUGCCUCAUAGACCUUCUUUGCUCUUGUGCUUGUAAAGCAUUCAAGAGCUCUGUAAGAGAGAUUUUUGACAGGUCUUAGGUGUUCUCCAGAGUAGUAAUGGUGGCUUCAAACUUCCCGGGAACAGUGACCUGCAGCUUUUCAACAAUCCUAGAGUCAAUACACACAGAACCAAGUAAUCUCACCUUAUUGGCAAUGCUGAGAAGUCUGUCAGAGUACUCCUUCAUUGACUCAAACUCCUUCCUCUUCUGCAACUCGAAAUCCUGAAUCAAAUUCAGGACUUUCAUUCCACGAAUCCUCUCAUCUCCUGCAAAUUCACCCUUGAGGUAAUCCCAAAUUUCCUUUGUUGUUUUGAGGGACAUUAUUCGUGUGAAGAUCAUUUGAGAUAUAACUGCAAAUAGGCAAGCUUUUUCCUUUGAUUUUAUGGUUUUUUUCUCCUUCUAUGCUUUGAUUUGUGCAACAGUAGGAUUUGCUGGAAGUGGAGGGACUUCGUAAUCUUCUUCUACUGCUUCCCAAAGAUCCAAAGCCUUCAGAUAAGUCUCCAUACGAAUUGCCCACAUUUGAUAAUUGUCUCCAUCAAAGACUGGUGGUGCAACAGCUGAAAAACUUGAUUCUCCUUCCAUUUUGACCUCACAGAUCCCUUAAGAAGAGUGCUUUGAUACCAAUUUGUUAGUUUCAAAACAAAUAAUAUUUGAUUGAUCAAUUGAGAUGAUAUAUUAAAGUUGGAAAGUUGUGCAUUUGUACACAGAAUGAAUAAAGAUUGUUCUAAAAAACAGAAAAUAAAUAUGGUAACAAACCAAUAGUUAAAACAGAAUUAAUUAAUUUUCUAAAAAUCUGGAGACUUAUUCAAUAACAAAAAAAAGCUAACUUGUAGGAUGUUAAACACAUGAUCCUAACAAACAUUCUUAAAUAUCAACUUUUUUUUAAAAGAACUAUAGAAAAGGUUUCAUAAAACCAAUAAAAGAAGAAAGAGUUUGGUUACUGACUUACCACGUCAAAAACAGCCUUAAGUUAACU
rnacentral:lncRNA from 1 species